rnacentral:rRNA from 1 species
AUACGUAGGUGGCAAGCGUUGUCCGGAUUUAUUGGGCGUAAAGCGAGCGCAGGCGGUUCCUUAAGUCUGAUGUGAAAGCCCACGGCAUAACCGUGGAAGGUCAUUGGAAACUGGGGAACUUGAGUGCAGAAGAGGAGAGUGGAAUUCCAUGUGUAGCGGUGAAAUGCGUAGAUAUAUGGAGGAACACCAGUGGCGAAGGCGACUUUCUGGUCUGUAACUGACGCUGAGGCUCGAAAGCGUGGGGAGC